AAACGGCUGCUAAUACCGAAUACGAUCUUUUCGUCGCAUGACGGAAAAGAAGAAAAAAGGGUGGCCUCUAUACAAAGCUAUCGCCGAAGGAGGGGUUUUGCGUCUGAUUAGCUGGUUGGAGGGGUAACGGCCCAACAAGGCGAUGAUCAGUAGCCGGUCUGAGAGGAUGAACGGCCACAUUGGGACUGAGACACGGCCCAGACUCCUACGGGAGGCAGCAGUGGGGAAUCUUCCGCAAUGGACGAAAGUCUGACGGAGCAACGCCGCGUGAGUGAAGAAGGUCUUCGGAUUGUAAAGCUCUGUUAUACGGGACGAAAAAGACGGAUGCCAACAGUAUCCGUCCGUGACGGUACCGUAAGAGAAAGCCACGGCUAACUACGUGCCAGCAGCCGCGGUAAAU
rnacentral:rRNA from 1 species